AUUGAACGCUGGCGGCAUGCCUUACACAUGCAAGUCGAACGGUAACAGGUCUUCGGAUGCUGACGAGUGGCGAACGGGUGAGUAAUACAUCGGAACGUGCCUAGUAGUGGGAGAUAACUACUCGAAAGAGUGGCUAAUACCGCAUGAGAUCUACGGAUGAAAGCAGGGGACCGCAAGACCCUGUGCCACGAGAGCGGCCGAUGGCAGAUUAGGUAGUUGGUGGGAUAAAAGCUUACCAAGCCGACGACCUGUAGCUGGUCUGAGAGGACGAUCAGCCACACUGGGACUGAGAAACGGCCCAGACUCCUACGGGAGGCAGCAGUGGGGAAUUUUGGACAAUGGGCGCAAGCCUGAUCCAGCAAUGCCGCGUGCAGGAUGAAGGCCUUCAGGUUGUAAACUGCUUUUGUACGGAACGAAAAGCCCCGGGUUAAUACCCUGGGGUCAUGACGGUACCGUAAGAAUAAGCACCGGCUAACUACGUGCCAGCCGCCGCAGUAA
rnacentral:rRNA from 1 species